rnacentral:rRNA from 1 species
AACAUCGCUCCCAAUCCAUUAGGGUGCGGAAUAUGGCCUCCCGUGCGAUUCUCUCUCGCGGUUGGCCGAAAAGAAUGGUCCUCGGCUGCGAAUGCCGCGACAAUCGGUGGUUGUAAGACCCUCGGGCACAGUCGCGCGCGCGUAUGCCUUUGGAUAACUAGACCCCUCUGCGUCCUUUGCGGCACGCUCACAUCGCGACCCCAGGUCAGGCGGGAUUACCCGCUGAGUUUAAGC